UACCUUGCGCAGUGGCAAUAUCGUAACUAAUGAUGGUCUCCUGAGGUGCGAUUAUUGCUAGUUGCUAGUUGAAAACUUUAGUUGCAAUAAUUCACUUUUGGCUAAUUUCUGGUGAGA
rnacentral:snRNA from 1 species